UCCAUAAAGCAUUGGCCGCAAUUAAAGGUCCCACCUAGUUCCCCAAUUAACUCCACGGUCCAUUGAUUUCCAUAACUUUCUAUUCAUCUUCUCCACUCACAUGGAUCUCCCUUACCUAACCCAGGGCGGCUGAUCGGACUGAGGUGAGGGCACCCUCCCGGCACCGCGGCCGCCUCUGUCGGUUCCAUCGACGGUCUCCCCUCCUUCUCCGCCCCGCAGAAGUCCUUUGGCCUCCGUCGGGCCCUGCUUCUUCGGUCGCUUCCCGCAGAUGGAAAAUAUGGAGAGGAAGUUCCAGCAUGCGGUGGUGGAUUUGUGGUUGGCUUACUCCCUCAACAUCACUUGCACCAAAGAUUGCCCCUCCGGAUCAGAAGGUGCUCCAUGUUUUGCUUCAUACAUAUCUUGGUGCUUGAUUCCCAGCCAACAACGCCAAGAGCAACGAGGUUUUACUCCUCGUGGAAUCUUCACGAAUGACUCCAAGUCUACUUUGUUUCCGGAUAUUCUCAAUAUAAAUCCGUCCGUUCUGUCUUAUCUGAAUUUAGAUAGACUUCCCAGAUUGUAGCUUUGAUUUCAAUGAGAAAACCUAGAGAAGGUAAGGUGAUCUUGCUAUGUUGAAUCGUCUGUUCAAACUCGGUUAAAUGGGAUUCAGUGCCACAUCUAAUUUUUUGACAAUGCUGAUACCCUUGGUCGAUGUACUGAUGUUGUUUGGGUAUUGUAUCGGAUGGAACAUAAUUUUAUGUGUUAAUCUCUCUCUCUCUCAUAAAUCAUUAUCAUGUACUCUUACUCAUCUUCCCGAGUCAUUCUAUUGGUUUUGUAUUUUUAGAAUUUUAUGUGUUAUAAUCUAUCAUAAAUCAUGAUUAUGUACAGUACUUCUUACUCAACUUAUUGAUUCAUUUUGUUCAUUUUGUUUUGUAGAAAUUGGGGUAUGUUGUUCAAGUAAGUUUAGCUGACUGCUCGGAUUGUCAACCAUUGCUUUUUCUUUAGUUAUUCGACAGUCACUAUUUUAAUUUCCUAACUAUACACAUGUCUCCUUGUAUGUCUACUUAUAGUCCUCUCUUAACAGUUCAAGUAGCACAAUCUCUUCCUUUCAGACCCUUAUAUAGAAACUACAAGCAAAUGUUGCUGGCUCUGUUGUACAUCUUGGAGUUAAUGUAUAUUCUCUUUUAGUUAGCCGAUGCAAUGCUAUGAAGUUAUUCUUUUACCCUUCCUUGAGAAUAUGGAAAUUCAUGUUUGGUGACCCAGUUGGGCAAGUUAUGCGCACUUCAACUACAAUUUAUUUGAAUGCAUAUCAGAUCAUAUUGUGAAUUGAUAGUUCUCUAACACACCACUUCUGAUUUUUACUUUCAAUUACUUUCAACAUGUUUAUAUAAGACAAUGGAAUCUUGAAGUGUAGAUUUUAAUAUGGUUUGAGUUGGCUGCUCUGCCCUUUAUAGUAUUUUUGAACGUCAUUUUUUUCCUUUUUUCCAUUUUCCAUUGGGGUGUGCCGAUAACUAUCUUUGCUUCUUUUUUUCACGUCGAGCCCAUGAAUUUGAAUCAACACGUCCACAAAUUGAAUCACCUAAUUUCCGGCAGUAACGCACGGGGUGUCAUCUAGUUAACCUAGAGCCCAGUGCCAGUGCCAGUUUCUGUCUUUUCCUUGUUUUAGAGUUUCGUAGAAAAGGAAUACCAA